rnacentral:tRNA from 2 species
GGCCGGAUAGCUCAAAGGCAGAGCGCAGGGCUGAAGUUGCGGGUUCGAAUCCCGCUCCGGCCG